CUGUUGGUGACCUGGCUUGUGGAGGGUGGGGGAGGGGGAGGCAUUGGCACAGGAGUGUUAGUGUCAGUUGCAAAGAUGAUGAACUACUGUGUGUGAGGGGCAGGAAAGGGAUGAGGUCAGUGGGGUCAGGCUGCCUUGGGGUGCAUAUUCAUAGCAGCUGAGGGGACCCGGGGAAUAGGUCAGGGCUAGUGACAAGAGUGGAGCUAUGUAGGGGGAGAGUCAAGUGAGGGGAGCCGAGCAGGGGAGCCUUACACAGAAGCAGAUGUUUGGAUUAGAGCCUCACAGCACCACAGACUCAAAACCCCACCAAGGGGACAUCGCUAGAGAAGCAGCACGUUCCAGACUGAGGUCUUCUGUGGAGCUCACCUUGAUGGGGAAUCUACUUUCCCUCUUGGAGAAGAUAACUGAGCAGGAUUGUUCAGGUGCUGCUUGGGCAAGCUCAAGAGGGAGACACAGAUCGAUAGACUCCUAUGGCCAGCGCCUGGAUGACAGCUACCCGAAGACACUGACACAGGAGUUGAUGUGACAGUACAUACUGAAUUCAGGGAGGAAAGAGGAGAGGAAAGGGUGGAGAGAGGCUUUGCAUCGGAGAAUCCAUGCACUUAAGAGGAUGGGGGAGAGCUCAGGACUUACAGUCCACACAAGAGGAUGGAUAACAGCAUCACGGACUCUAUGGACUCCCCGGAACCAUGGAAGCACGGAAGCAGGAGAGUAGGGGAGGAAAGAGGAGGGAUGGGCCAAUUACAGAUGCUUUGAGCCUGAUGAGUUCCAAGCACUCAGGCGAGGCUGUGUUUAGGAAGACACUAAACGUAGAAGAGCGCUACCUUCCAGGAAGGCCCAUUGGACAGGAGCUGGAAAGAAAGGACCAUUCUGUGGUCUAGCCUGUAUGAAGAGAUAGCAGACCUGGGGUUCAUGAAAUAGCACAGUGGUUAAAAGUACUUGCUUUUACAGAGAACCCAUGGUAGCUUCUCAGUACCUAUGCCAGGUCACUCAUAAUUGCCUGUAACUCCAGUUUCAAGGGGUCCAAAGCCACCUUCUAACCUCCCAGAGCACUUGGUAUGUGUACACACACACACACACACACGCACACACACACACACACUCACAUUCACACAUAUACAUACACACACAAACUCACACUCACACACUCACACAUAUACACACACAAUCAUACACACACACUCACACUCACACAUAUACAUACACACACAAACACACACACACACACACACACACACACACACACACAUACACACCAUUGAAGAAAUAGAGAAUAGGUGACAUCCGAUCCUAAGUGGAAUUUGGGGAUUAAAAAAAUUAUCUGCAUGUGGGUUUAUAUGUGCACGUCUGUGCAUGUGUGUGUACCCACAUGUCUAUAUUUACCUGUGUGAGCUUGUACAGGCCUGAGGUCACCCCCAAAUGUCCUUCUCAAUCACCUUUCAACUUUGGGAUAGUCAGUCUCUCACUGAACCCAAUACUUGCCAUUUCGGCUCUGAAUCCUCAGGAACCACCUGUGUGUGCCCCCACUCCUCAGAGCUCAGUCACGCUGGGCUUUUUCAGGGGUGCUGGGGUCUGGAUUCAGGUCUUCAUGCUUUCUCAGAAAGCUGUUUACCCACUAGGCACCCCCCCCCCACACUGAAUUAUUUUUCUGAGACAGAAUAGCCUUGAUCUAUCUCAAAGCGAUCCUCCUGCCUUAGCUUCCGCAGUGCUAGGGUCACAGGUAUGAACUACCGGGCUCGCACUGGGGAUUUUCCUCUAAUGAGCAUUCCCUGAGAUUCUUGCUAAGGCCAGCUUUCGUACAGUAGGCAGGGGUGUCACUUCCGGCUGCAGAGCAGAAGUGGGUACCAUGCAGCCUUCGACCAGUCUGGUUUCUAGUUCUUGCUAUAGCUGGCACCUAUUGAACACUCCCAGCUUCCCUGUCACUGCGUUUGGGUUGAGAGAAUAGCUGGGUAUGGGGUGACCUGUAAAACGUGUAUAACUGGAAGAGACCUCAGCACUCAAUGCUUUGCUAUCAGGGUUUGGAUCCCCAAACCUGCACCAAGCUAGCAUCUGUACCAACACUUGGCAUGUGGCCAAGCCUGGUUCUUCGUUCUUGUUUCUCUCUCUCUCUCUCUCUCUCUCUCUCUCUCUCUCUCUCUCUCUCUCUCUCUCAUCCUGGCAAAUAGUGCCAAGAGAAGGAACAGUGCUUAAAGAAUGAGGAGCCUUCACCCCCCCCCCCCAGGUUUAAAGUAUAAACGACUUGGUGUGUAUGUGAGUUCGAAUGUUCACACAUGUUAAAGUUGCACACGCAUGUGUGCGCGAAGGCCUGAGAUCACCUCCCGAUGUCACUCCUUUGGAGUGGCCCACUUUGGUGUUUGAAGCAAGGUCUCUUACUGGUCUGAACUCAUCAAGUAAGCUGGCUGGCUGGCUGGCUGGCUGGGGACCCCAGGAGUCUUCAGUUUCUCACCAGUGCUUGGAUUAUGGGCAUUCACCCAUGCCCAGAUCUUUUUACAGGAGUGCUGGGGAUCUAACUGAGCUCCCAUAACCCCUUUAUUGACUGGCCUAUUCCCACAGCCAUGCAUAUUUUUUUUCCUUUGAGACAGAUCAUACUAUAUACCCUUGGCUAGCUUAGAACUCUGUGUAAACCAGGUUGGCCUUGAACCCACAGAGACCCACCCACCCCUGCCUCCCUCGUGCCAGGAUUAAAGGCAUUCAACCUUUAUGUCCCACCAUAAAUUGUUUUCAGAGGUAAAGUCAUUUACUAAUUGUUUAUCAUUUGGUACAAUAAAAGAUAAUGCUAUACUGGGGGUGGGUUUACCAUUCUAGGGGUGGGAUCAGUUUCUUAGCUUUCGGUGUAAAGCAUCUCAAAUGACAGUCUGGGGUCCUGCUUGUGCACUGAGUAGGUCUUGAACACUUUAGAUCCUGUUUCUGUGCUGUUCCUUGAUUGUUGCUUGGUCAGAACUGGGAGGCUUCUGUGAACAGCUUCUGCCAGUUUAGUUUUCUAAGGAUUUUGCUAAGGUACUCGGAAGACUGACAGUUGGAAUGCAUCUAUGUGUCAUUAAACUGCAAGUUGGUCAGCCCUCCAGACAGUCCCUCGGCAUCCUUGUACCAGAAUAGCCUCUUUGGGGAGAUUUCCCUCCAGAUUUGAAGCAGCAAAGUUGCUGGAAUAAUUAUUUCAAAGUGAAUCACAAUACACAGAUUUCCAGUACAUAUGUUAGCAGUUGUCCACAGACUGGGCCAGCAAGAUGGCUCAGCGAGUAAAGAGUCUGCUGUGCCCAUCACGACUCACAAUCUGGGUUUGAUCCUAGAAUCCAUGUCAAGGUAGGAGGAGAGAAAAGACUCCACAAAAAUGUCCUCUGCCCUCCAUAUAUGCACUGUGACACAUAAGUAUGCAAACACACACACACACAUAGUCACACAUGCAGACACACAUUCACACAUGCACACACACAUUCACACAUGCACACACACAAGCACACACACAUUCACAAGUCACACAUGCACACACACAUUCACACAUGCACACAUGCACACAUGCACACACAUGCAGAUGCACAUUCACACAUGCACACACAUUCACACACAUUCACGCAAGCACACACACAUGCACACACAUGUUCACACAUGUACACACACACGUUUACACACACACAUGUAGACGCACAUUCAUACAUGAGCAUGCACAAUGAUAAAACUAUAAUGAUAAAUUGCACCUAAAUUGCAAUGUCUUUGUACUGACUCUCAGCACAAACAAUAAAAUCUCAAUUACAGUUUUAGAAGAAAAAAAAAACGGUAGUAAGGAAGGGGAGCCUAACACGUGGCCAAGUCUACGCCUCCACCUACGAUUAUAGGUUAAUGAACCAAGUCUGGCCUAAUCCAACCGUCCCCUCUCACUGGAAUUGUUAGUCUUUGUUUUAUAAGGUUAUUCCCCAUUCAUCUGAGACACCAUUAGAGAGAAUAUGGCAUCGAAAUCAUUCCCAUCAGUAAUGGAAAUGGCUGAGAUUAGCUUUGAUAUCCCUGCAGCUGUUAAGCAAAUCAAAAAGGCAUUAACAGCAAGUCGGAAUUUACUCCAGCAGCUGAGGCAAAGACACACACUCCAGCCUGGUAAAUGGACCCUUUAGCUCUUUACUUGAGAUUGGGGGAUGCUGUUUGCCGACUCAGCUAAAUCUAGAACUGCAACCCUGACCCUGCUCUCCCGGGAGAAGUGACCUGCAAGUUCUUUGCUCCCUCGCUUCCGAUUUCCGUGAGUGUAUUUAAGAGGAGCAGCGUCUGUGGAGUUGGCAAAGAGCCAUCUUCAUUUCAAAACUCAGGACGGAGGGUAGUCAUUAGCACACUCAAGGUCCUGGGUUCAAGCCUCAGUACCAGAAGAAAAACAAAAAAAACGAACCAAAACAAAGCCCUAGUUCCUCUCCAGUACUGGCGAUUGUUUUAGGAAGUGUUCGUAGGGGCUCCACGGCUGCCUGGGUGCUCAGAGCUGCUGUGAAUGGGGGCUCCUAACUUUGCUGCUCAUUUGCAUUUUGAUUCUUCUCCGGUCUUCUGUACUUAUUUGUAAACAGAAGGGGUCAGUCCUGGGGCCUUCAGAAGACAGUGAAAAGGUUAGACCCCUGAAAGCUCUAUGUUAGGGGCAGGCAAGACAGCCUCGCCUGUGAGAAGCACUUGUUACGCGAGCCUGAAGGCUAAAGUUUGGUCUCUGGAAACGAGUUUAAAGAUGGACUCCAAGAGGUUGUCCUCUAACUUCCACACGCAUGUGGCAUGUGUGUGUUCACACACACACACACCAAGAACACACACCACCACCGCCAACAAGAAUAAUAAAAUUUUUAAACACUA